GACGAACGCUGGCGGCGUGCCUAAUACAUGCAAGUUGAGCGCUGAAGGUUGGUACUUGUACCAACUGGAUGAGCAGCGAACGGGUGAGUAACGCGUGGGGAAUCUGCCUUUGAGCGGGGGACAACAUUUGGAAACGAAUGCUAAUACCGCAUAAAAACUUUAAACACAAGUUUUAAGUUUGAAAGAUGCAAUUGCAUCACUCAAAGAUGAUCCCGCGUUGUAUUAGCUAGUUGGUGAGGUAAAGGCUCACCAAGGCGAUGAUACAUAGCAGACCUGAGAGGGUGAUCGGCCACAUUGGGACUGAGACACGGCCCAAACUCCUACGGGAGGCAGCAGUAGGGAAUCUUCGGCAAUAGACGAAAGUCUGACCGAGCAACGCCGCGUGAGUGAAGAAGGUUUUCGGAUCGUAAAACUCUGUUGGUAGAGAAGAACGUUGGUGAGAGUGGAAAGCUCAUCAAGUGACGGUAACUACCCAGAAAGGGACGGCUAACUACGUG
rnacentral:rRNA from 1 species